rnacentral:rRNA from 1 species
GUAGGUGGCAAGCGUUGUCCGGAAUUAUUGGGCGUAAAGCGCGCGCAGGCGGUUCUUUAAGUCUGAUGUGAAAGCCCACGGCUCAACCGUGGAGGGUCAUUGGAAACUGGAGAACUUGAGUACAGAAGAGGAAAGCGGAAUUCCACGUGUAGCGGUGAAAUGCGUAGAGAUGUGGAGGAACACCAGUGGCGAAGGCGGCUUUCUGGUCUGUAACUGACGCUGAGGCGCGAAAGCGGGGGGAGCAAACAGGGAUUAGAUACCCUGGUAGUCCACGCCGUAAACGAUGAGUGCUAAGUGUUAGGGGGUUUCCGCCCCUUAGUGCUGCAGCUAACGCAUUAAGCACUCCGCCUGGGGAGUACGGCCGCAAGGCUG